GCACAAGGGUGCACAAUGUUCUGCAAAGCGCAUGGUGGUGGAAAACGCUGCACAGCUCCAGGAUGCACCAAGGGUGCUGAAGGGAGCACACCUUUUUGUAAGGGCCAUGGAGGUGGGAAAAGGUGUGCCUUCCAAGGUGGUGGGGUUUGUACUAAGAGUGUCCAUGGAGGGACCAACUUCUGUGUUGCACAUGGGGGUGGCAAGAGAUGUGCUGUACCCGAGUGCACAAAGAGUGCAAGAGGAAGAACAGAUUUUUGUGUUCGUCAUGGUGGUGGGAAAAGAUGCAAGUUUGAAGGAUGUGGCAAGAGCGCCCAGGGCAGCACAGAUUUCUGCAAGGCACAUGGUGGAGGGAAAAGAUGUUCCUGGGGCCAUCCUGGGUCAGAAUAUGGUGUCCAGCCUACUGGUCCGUGUAACUCAUUUGCAAGGGGUAAGACUGGUCUCUGUGCACUUCAUAGUGGUCUGGUGCAGGAUAAGAGGGUUCAUGGUGG
rnacentral:misc_RNA from 1 species